rnacentral:rRNA from 1 species
AGAGUUUGAUCCUGGCUCAGGACGAACGCUGGCGGCGCGCUUAACACAUGCAAGUCGAGCGAGAACCAGGGCUUCGGCCCUGGGGACAGCGGCGAACGGGUGAGUAACACGUGGGUAAUCAACCCUUGACACUGGGAUAGCCCGGGGAAACCCGGAUUAAUACCGGAUAGCCCAUCUGGCCUUCGGGCCGGCUGGAAAAGGUAGCUUCGGCCUCCGGUUGGGGACGAGCCCGCGGCGGAUUAGCUUGUUGGUGGGGUAAAAGCCCACCAAGGCGACGAUCCGUAGCUGGUCUGAGAGGACGAUCAGCCACACUGGGACUGAGACACGGCCCAGACUCCUACGGGAGGCAGCAGUGGGGAAUCUUGCGCAAUGCGCGAAAGCGUGACGCAGCAACGCCGCGUGGGGGAAGAAGGCUUUCGGGUUGUAAACCCCUUUCAGUUGGGACGAAGCUUCGCCGGUGAAUAGCCGGCCGGAGUGACGGUACCUUCACAAGAAGCACCGGCUAACUACGUGCCAGCAGCCGCGGUAAU